rnacentral:rRNA from 1 species
GUGCCAGCCGCCGCGGUAAUACAGAGGUGGCGAGCGUUGUUCGGAUUUACUGGGCGUAAAGGGCGCGUAGGCGGCCGUGUGUGUGGGGUGUGAAAUCUCCGGGCUCAACCCGGAAAGUGCGCCCCAAACUGCACGGCUCGAGUUCGGGAGGGGGGAUCGGAAUACAGGGUGUAGCGGUGAAAUGCGUUGAUAUCCUGUAGAACACCGGUGGCGAAGGCGGAUCCCUGGAACGAAACUGACGCUGAGGCGCGAAAGCAGGGGGAGCAAACAGGAUUAGAAACCCCCGUAGUCC